CACCUGGAAACCGAUGUCCUCAGUGCGGGAGAAUAUGCGGGUCAAGAAUCGGUCUCUUCAGUCACCUAAGAACACACGCCCAAGAUACCAAGGUUGGAAGACUAUCGUCCUCGAACGACGAGGGAUCGCCUAAGUAAGAGCCUGAGCCAGUCUGUGACUUGAAGACACCUAAGUUCUUCUUCGUUGCUGGAAGUAAAAUGGAAUACUUCUCUUAUGCUCUAUCUCUCUAAAAGAUCCCAUUGCUUCUCAGAGGACAAUCCUUCUUUUCACAAAACAUUUAAGUGGAACGGGAAACACUGAACAUAGUGAGAGGAGUCCAGCCACUACUGUUCAGGCAUUAAAUAGUAAGCUCUGCAGCCUCACAUUUAAAUCAGAAGCCUUUUUGCAUUUUUACAUUCCAAGCUUAGAGGUUUUAGUCACUAUUUACACACUUUUUAACCCGGGGAAAGGCAUAAUGGUCAGACAUUCUGGUGACUCAGGGGCAUGCUCCAUGCAGGAAACCAUUCAAUGGUUUCAAAACUGAACCGUUGUUUUCCAGCCUAGAUUUUGCUGGACCAUUAGUUUCAACAUAGGCUAAUUUGGAGACUAUAUGAUUGCUAUUCAUAAGGAGAGCCGCCCCCCUUUUCUGAGCUUUGAUGGAAGCAAAUGAAAAUAUUGCUUUUGAAACAAGCUUCUUGAUGAAAAUAAAAAGAACAGUGUGCGAGCAUGUGCAUUACCAAUCUUUUUCAUCUUCAUGCAUUUCCAUCUGUCUCCUGUUUUUAAUAGGACAUUACAUAACAAAUAAUUUUUACUGUUUAGUCAAGCUGCUGUUCUGAAACAAGGCUUGUGAAUAAUGUCAGACAUGGAUGUGGGAAGUCUUCUGUCAACACUUCCCCCUUUACUGAAAAAGAGGCGCUAUGUUGUUGUCCAGCAUAUGUUCGAUAGUGGAGCCAAAUAAUGCUUCUCCUUUGUGCUUAUUAGUUUUCUGUCACUUUAUGUGUGAAAAAUUGAUAUUAACUUUUGUCUCUGUUUGCCUAUGUAAAUAUGGCUUAUGUUACUUAUACUGAAAGUUUCUUCUGUAAUUUUUUCCCUUGCAAAACAUUAGCAUUUUAGGGAAAAAUAGAAAUUUUAAUGUUUAAUAUGUAUUAAUUUUUAAUUUAUUUUAGCUUAUGUUUUGUAUGUGUUAUUAAGGCAUUAAAUAAUUGCCAUAUGUUAGCUGCCUUGAAUCCCCUUUGGGGUAGAGAAAGGUGGGGUAUAAAUAAGGUAAAAAAAUAAUAAAUAAAUGUAGCAUAUGAUACUUUAUCCAGUGCCUUUGUUCAUGAACAACCAAGUUAUUAAAUAUAAUGUAUGUUUA